rnacentral:rRNA from 1 species
ACGAACGCUGGCGGCGUGCCUAAUACAUGCAAGUCGAGCGGACCCUUCGGGGUUAGCGGCGGACGGGUGAGUAACACGUGGGUAAUCUGCCCAACUGACUGGAAUAACGCCUGGAAACGGGUGCUAAUGCCGGAUAGGCAACUGGUAGGCAUCUACCGGUUGGGAAAGGUGCAACUGCACCGCAGAUGGAGGAGCCCGCGGCGCAUUAGCUAGUUGGUGGGGUAACGGCCUACCAAGGCGACGAUGCGUAGCCGACCUGAGAGGGUGGACGGCCACACUGGGACUGAGACACGGCCCAGACUCCUACGGGAGGCAGCAGUAGGGAAUCUUCCGCAAUGGGCGCAAGCCUGACGGAGCAACGCCGCGUGAGCGAAGAAGGCCUUCGGGUUGUAAAGCUCAGUCACUCGGGAAGAGCGGACGAGGAAGUGGAAAGCCCUCGUCGAGACGGUACCGAGAGAGGAAGCCCCGGCUAACUACGUG